UACGAAGGGGGCUAGCGUUGCUCGGAAUCACUGGGCGUAAAGGGCGCGUAGGCGGACUCUUAAGUCGGGGGUGAAAGCCCAGGGCUCAACCCUGGAAUUGCCUUCGAUACUGGGAGUCUUGAGUUCGGAAGAGGUUGGUGGAACUGCGAGUGUAGAGGUGAAAUUCGUAGAUAUUCGCAAGAACACCAGUGGCGAAGGCGACCAACUGGUCCGAAACUGACGCUGAGGCGCGAAAGCGUGGGGAGCAAACAGG
rnacentral:rRNA from 1 species